rnacentral:rRNA from 1 species
ACACUCCUACGGGAGGCAGCAGUGGGGAAUUUUGGACAAUGGGCGAAAGCCUGAUCCAGCAAUGCCGCGUGAGUGAAGAAGGCCUUCGGGUUGUAAAGCUCUUUUGUCAGGGAAGAAACGGUGAAAGCUAAUAUCUUUUGCUAAUGACGGUACCUGAAGAAUAAGCACCGGCUAACUACGUGCCAGCAGCCGCGGUAAUACGUAGGGUGCAAGCGUUAAUCGGAAUUACUGGGCGUAAAGCGUGCGCAGGCGGUUUUGUAAGUCUGAUGUGAAAUCCCCGGGCUCAACCUGGGAAUUGCAUUGGAGACUGCAAGGCUAGAAUCUGGCAGAGGGGGGUAGAAUUCCACGUGUAGCAGUGAAAUGCGUAGAUAUGUGGAGGAACACCGAUGGCGAAGGCAGCCCCCUGGGUCAAGAUUGACGCUCAUGCACGAAAGCGUGGGGAGCAAACAGGAUUAGAUACCCGAGUAGUCC